rnacentral:rRNA from 1 species
AACGAACGCUGGCGGCAUGCCUAACACAUGCAAGUCGAACGAAGGCUUCGGCCUUAGUGGCGCACGGGUGCGUAACGCGUGGGAACCUGCCCCUCGGUUCGGAAUAACAGUUAGAAAUGACUGCCAAUACCGGAUGGAUGACUUCGGUCCAAAGAUUUAUCGCCGAGGGAUGGGCCCGCGUAGGAUUAGCUUGUUGGUGGGGUAAAGGCCUACCAAGGCGACGAUCCUUAGCUGGUCUGAGAGGAUGAUCAGCCACACUGGGACUGAGACACGGCCCAGACUCCUACGGGAGGCAGCAGUGGGGAAUAUUGGACAAUGGGCGAAAGCCUGAUCCAGCAAUGCCGCGUGAGUGAUGAAGGCCUUAGGGUUGUAAAGUCCUUUUAACGGGGAAGA